GCUGGCGGCAGGCCUAAUACAUGCAAGUCGAGCGCACCUUCGGGUGAGCGGCGGACGGGUGAGUAACGCGUGGGAACGUGCCCUUUGGUUCGGAACAACACAGGGAAACUUGUGCUAAUACCGAAUGUGCCCUUCGGGGGAAAGAUUUAUCGCCAUUGGAGCGGCCCGCGUUGGAUUAGGUAGUUGGUGGGGUAAAGGCCCACCAAGCCGACGAUCCAUAGCUGGUCUGAGAGGAUGAUCAGCCACACUGGGACUGAGACACGGCCCAGACUCCUACGGGAGGCAGCAGUAGGGAAUCUUGCGCAAUGGGCGAAAGCCUGACGCAGCCAUGCCGCGUGAAUGAUGAAGGUCUUAGGAUUGUAAAAUUCUUUCACCGGGGAAGAUAAUGACGGUACCCGGAGAAGAAGCCCCGGCUAACUUCGUGCCAGCAGCCGCGGUAAUACGAAGGGGGCUAGCGUUGCUCGGAAUUACUGGGCGUAAAGGGCGCGUAGGCGGAUAGUUUAGUCAGAGGUGAAAGCCCAGGGCUCAACCUUGGAACUGCCUUUGAUACUGGCUAUCUUGAGUUCGGGAGAGGUGAGUGGAAUGCCGAGUGUAGAGGUGAAAUUCGUAGAUAUUCGGCGGAACACCAGUGGCGAAGGCGACUCACUGGCCCGAUACUGAC
rnacentral:rRNA from 1 species